UACGUAGGGACCGAGCGUUGUCCGGAUUCAUUGGGCGUAAAGAGCUCGUAGGCGGCCACUCAAGUCGAAUGUGAAACCUCGAGGCUCAACCUCGAGCCUGCAUUCGAUACUGGGCGGCUAGAGUCUGGUAGGGGGAUCUGGAAUUCCUGGUGUAGCGGUGGAAUGCGCAGAUAUCAGGAGGAACACCGGUGGCGAAGGCGGGAUCCUGGGCCAGUACUGACGCUGAGGAGCGAAAGCGUGGGGAGCAACAGGAUAGA
rnacentral:rRNA from 1 species